rnacentral:misc_RNA from 1 species
GUGGAUGCAAGAGCUGCAAAAGAAAACAAAACCAGAGUCAGAUUGGUUUGGUAUAGGCACAUUUCAAGCAAAAGAGAGCGCAUAUUCACCACGUGGAGACUUUGAAUCCAACUCAUCUGAAGAUGCUCACUCUAGAUAUUUUGUGCUCCCAAGAGCAUUUGCUCUUGAACCUCCAAGUUGCCACACCACUUCUGACACUGACACUGAGAAACACUCGAUUGAAAAU